rnacentral:rRNA from 1 species
UACGGAGGGUGCAAGCGUUAUCCGGAAUCACUGGGUUUAAAGGGUGCGCAGGCGGUCGCGUGUGUCAGGUGUGAAAGCCCGGAGCUUAACUCCGGAAUUGCGCCUGAAACUACGUGACUAGAGCAUUGGAGAGGGUAGCGGAAUUCACGGUGUAGCAGUGAAAUGCGUAGAUAUCGUGAGGAACACCAGAGGCGAAGGCGGCUACCUGGACAAUUGCUGACGCUCAGGCACGAAAGCGUGGGGAGCAAAAGGG